AUUAAACUCACAUCUUGAUUGUCUCGGCUACAUUCUAUGUGGUAUAGGAGGGAAAAUGAAUAAAUCAACUCAACCGGUGGACAAACGUCUAUUUUUGCUGGGUAACAAGCUGUAAGAUGCUGAAUGGCCAAACUCCAAGCAGGACGGCCAGUGUUAUCAGAAGAAUUCCUACUUUAAACUGAUGAAGUUCACUACAGCAGCAUUUAUCCAUCUAACCCAGCAGCUCAGCAUUCUACUACGGUACUGGUUAGUUUAUGUCAACUUAAUACAUAUUAGAAACUUCUUGGAAGAGGG
rnacentral:lncRNA from 1 species